rnacentral:rRNA from 1 species
UACGAAGGGGGCGAGCGUUGUUCGGAAUUACUGGGUGUAAAGGGCGCGUAGGCGGCGAACCAAGUCAGAUGUGAAAGUCCUGGGCUUAACCUGGGGACUGCAUUUGAUACUGGUUUGCUUGAAUUCGGGAGAGGAUAGCGGAAUUCCCAGUGUAGAGGUGAAAUUCGUAGAUAUUGGGAAGAACACCGGUGGCGAAGGCGGCUAUCUGGACCGACAUUGACGCUGAGGCGCGAAAGCGUGGGGAGCAAACAGG